ACGCCAAUAUAUCGGAUCACAUAAUGCAUGAAUAAUACAAGAAUAUUUGUAAAUCUGCAAAAUUACUAUUUUCCACAGUGCUAAAAUAAUAUCAGACAAGAAAAAAUCCAAUUCAAUUACAAAAAAAAUCGACUUACAACUCAAUCGCCUUCUGAUGAAAUUCAAUAUUUAUUUAACUUAAACCUGAUCUUCCAACUUUUAAGAGCUAGAAAUAGAAACUUGAAACCAUUCAUUAAAGCAACUGGACCUUUUAAUUUCGAACACUGAUUUUUUUUUUGGGUACAUCGGGAAAAACUAAAUAAAUUGCUUAAAAUCUCUCAUAAGCGUGAAAGAUGUGAGUUAAUAGGAAAAUAAGAAACAAGAAUUGGAGCACCCCUAGUACUUGACUUGUUUUUGCUCUUUGCAACUUUCUCUGAUGAUUUUAGGUUGUUGACAUUAUUAGAAUUAUCAGGAACUCUAGAAGAUGAAGAAGAAGCAAUAGUAAAACAGUUCAACAAUCCUGAAAGCAAAGCCAUUUAUGAAUGUUUUAAUUUUCUUUUCACUGCUGAGAGCUAAAAGAAGAAGUAUU
rnacentral:lncRNA from 1 species